rnacentral:lncRNA from 1 species
UUAAAUCCCAUACAUGAUCAUACAUAUAGAUAAAAACUUUAAACUUUUUCUUUCAUUCACCAAGCUUAACCUGUGCAUACUCAUACUUAUGAACAUAAACCCCACACUGGAGCCCUCAUCAAAUGCUCCAAUGGGGUAACAUAACAUAUACUAAGCUUGGUUUACGUAAAACAUCAUAAAAACAUUUCAUAGAUCAUGUGCAAAGGGAUUAACUAUACAUACUAGGGUCAAGCACAAUACUAAAC